UACGUAGGGUGCGAGCGUUAAUCGGAAUUACUGGGCGUAAAGCGUGCGCAGGCGGUUUUGUAAGCCAGAUGGGAAAUCCCCGGGCUCAACCUGGGAAUGGCGAUGGAUACUGGCUCGCUAGAGUGCGGUAGAGGAGAGUGGAAUUCCCGGUGUAGCAGUGAAAUGCGUAGAGAUCGGGAGGAACAUCAGUUGCGAAGGCGGCUCUCUGGACCAGCACUGACACUGAGGCACGAAAGCGUGGGGAGCAAACAGG
rnacentral:rRNA from 1 species